GGGGUAGCUUUAAUGUGGUGAAUUAGUGUGGACUGUAAAUCCACUGCCUCAGGCUAUUUAAGGUUCGAUUCCUUUCUGCCCCA
rnacentral:tRNA from 1 species